AUUGAACGCUGGCGGCAGGCCUAACACAUGCAAGUCGAACGGCAGCACAGAAGAGCUUGCUCUUUGGGUGGCGAGUGGCGGACGGGUGAGUAAUGUCUGGGAAACUGCCCGAUGGAGGGGGAUAACUACUGGAAACGGUAGCUAAUACCGCAUAACGUCGCAAGACCAAAGUGGGGGACCUUCGGGCCUCACACCAUCGGAUGUGCCCAGAUGGGAUUAGCUAGUAGGUGGGGUAAUGGCUCACCUAGGCGACGAUCCCUAGCUGGUCUGAGAGGAUGACCAGCCUCACUGGAACUGAGACACGGUCCAGACUCCGAGGGGAGGCAGCAGUGGGGAAUAUUGCACAGUGGGCGCAAGCCUGAUGCAGCCAUGCCGCGUGUAUGACGAAGGCCUUCGGGUUGUAAAGUACUUUCAGCGGGGAGGAAGGCGGUGAGGUUAAUAACCUCGCCGAUUGACGUUACCCGCAGAAGAAGCACCGGCUAACUCCGUGCCAGCCGCCGCAGUAA
rnacentral:rRNA from 1 species